AACUUCCAUAUUACCAUGGAGUGCACCAACAUCAUGGCAGCCAGGUGUCACAGGGGAUAGAGUGCUACAGUAUUUUGUAGUGAUGAAACUAUAAUGUUCAAAUAAUUGAUUAGUCACUUCACAGAGAUACUUAAGGAAAUAUUCUGGGGACUGUGAAAGCAUUGCUUAUAAAUAAUGAUUAGUAGGUCUUUUGAUAGGUAUUGAAGAUGAAUGUCUCUGAUAUAAAACAUUAUUUCAAUACAUUUUAUCAUUAGUGAAACUACUUUUUGGAGCUGUCACAAAGACUAGAAGAAAGAAAAGUUUAUCUUUAGAUUUCAUUCUAUUGUUAACUGAAAAGCUUUGUAUCUAAUGAUAAUAAACAGGCAUACUGCAAGUGACAUUUUGUAGCAAAAGCCGAAAGAGGAUGCAACAAAAGAAACCAGACUGCCAGACCUGAGUUCAAAUCCACCCUCAGACACUUACUAGCUGUGUGACCCUGGAUAAGUCUAUCCACUCUGCUGCUUACCUCAAUUUUCUCACCUGCAAAGUGAUCAGGAAAAGGAAGUGGCAAAUCAUUCCAGUAUCUUUGCCAAGAAAACUCCAAAUGGGAUCAUCAAGGGUAAGACAUGGCUGAAAUUAUUUAACAAAAAAAAAAAAAGGUCAUUAUCUCAGUCAUCCAGGCCCACAACCUCAGUCUUCCUUGAUUCCUCUUUAUUCUCCCCACAUAGAGCCAGUCCUUUGCCAAAUAUUUUUGACUCUAACUUCGCUCAUGUGGCCAACACCCCAAUUUAGACACUUAUUAUCUCUCACUUGGAUGACUGUAAUAGUUUCCUUCCUUCCUUCCUUCCUUCCUUCCUUCCUUCCUUCCUUCCUUCCUUCCUUCCUUCCUUCCUUCCUUCCUUCCUUCCUUCCUUCCUUCCUUCCUUCCUUCCUUCCUUCCUUUCUUCCUUUCUUUUUCCUUCUUUCCUUCUUUCUUUCUUUCUUUCUUUCUUUCUUUCUUUCUUUCUUUCUUUCUUUCUUUCUUUCUUUCUUUCUUUCUUUCUUUCUUUCUUUCUUUCUUUCUUUCUUUCUUUCUUUCUUUCUUUCUUUCUUUCUUUCUUUCCUGUCUCUGACUUUGUUUUUUGACUGUCUCUUUCUGUCUCUGUCUCUAUCUUUGUCUCCCCCUUUGUUUAUUCUUUCCCAAUCUUGGUGAAUAGAAUAUUGGAGAUGUAAUGAACCAAGUUUUGACCCUGCGAGCAUCAAAGUCAAAAGAAGUACCAGAGAUCCAGACACUGGAUUCCAUAGUAAUGUUUGUCUGUGACUGUUAACCAGUUUUGCUGAGAAGCCAACCUUGAGGAGUGACCAGCAGUACCUGAAACAUUAUGGCCUGAAGCAAGGAAGUGGCUCCCUCAUCUGAGAUAACAGAUACAGAAGAGGGACAAAUUCUUUGUAGCAACCACUUCAGUUCUGAUAUGCUAUUCCAAGAACCAAGUGGAUGUUUAGAGGAGACAGUGUGCCUGGAUUGAUGGGAAGAGAUUUGUUUGUAUUUUUGUCCCUGUUAUUUUUACUUAGUAAAUAUCUCUUUACAAAACCUAAUUUAUAUAAAUUGGUUAAUUGCUACUGAGAAUUCAUUUAGUCAAAAAUGAUACUGAGAUCAUCAAUAUUGAAGGAACACAAUAGUUAGGGCUUGCAAGGAACAGUACUAGAAAGAUACCCUCAACUCCUCAGGGUCACCCUUAGAACCCUGAGGGGAAAACUAAGGUAGCUGAUCUGCAUAUGGAGAUUGAGUCCUUAGCAGAAGUUGAAUUUUGGAGAGUGCUAGUGAUCCUGGCCUUUGCUACAAUCCAUUCAUUUUCUCAUUCUAGACCUCCAUUUCCUUACCUCAAUAAUAAGGAGAAUAGAGAACCAGCUGUGUGACCCUGGGCAAAUCACUCAACCCUCAGUUUCUUCAUCUGCAAAAUGAGCUGGAGAAGAAAAUAGCAAACCACACCAGUAUCUUUGCCAAGAAAACUCCAAAUGGGGUUACAAAGAGUAGAAUACAACAGAAAUGACUGAACAACAACAAAAAUACGUGUAUGAGGAUGGGGGAGUCUUUACUCCCAAUGCCCCUCCUGAUUGGUGCAAAUAACAUUAAUGGGUAGACCCCAUCAAGAUUGGCUGGAGUCAUUCUGAUGUCACAAUUGAUAGGCUUCUCUCAUUUCUCCUCUGUCUAC
rnacentral:lncRNA from 1 species